rnacentral:lncRNA from 1 species
CCGGAAUCUCGAACAAACGUCAACCAAACGAACAAAUCUAACUUCAAUCUAAUGCCCUUUUCAUUGCCUCACCAAAAUGGAACUAACAAUCACAAACUGAAAAGACUAGAACCCAUCCCGUGUCGUUUUUCGAUGAAUUUUUGAUGAAUAAUCACCGAAAAGGAAAUGGGGUGACUAUUCUUGUUGAAUAUUGGCCGGGUUUUUUUUAUGAGAUUUGGAGUGUGUUGAAGCUGGUUUCGAUUGGGUUUCAGGGAAGGGACGUUUCUAGCGAUGGUUUGAUCAGAAAACGUGGGGAAGGGGGCUAGUGGUGUUUAU